CCAUCCUGGUACACCACUCGUC
rnacentral:miRNA from 1 species